AUUGAACGCUGGCGGCAUGCCUUACACAUGCAAGUCGAACGGCAGCACGGGUGCUUGCACCUGGUGGCGAGUGGCGAACGGGUGAGUAAUACAUCGGAACAUGUCCUGUAGUGGGGGAUAGCCCGGCGAAAGCCGGAUUAAUACCGCAUACGAUCUACGGAUGAAAGCGGGGGACCUCGGGCCUCGCGCUAUAGGGUUGGCCGAUGGCUGAUUAGCUAGUUGGUGGGGUAAAGGCCUACCAAGGCGACGAUCAGUAGCUGGUCUGAGAGGACGACCAGCCACACUGGGACUGAGACACGGCCCAGACUCCUACGGGAGGCAGCAGUGGGGAAUUUUGGACAAUGUGCGAAAGCCUGAUCCAGCAAUGCCGCGUGUGUGAAGAAGGCCUUCGGGUUGUAAAGCACUUUUGUCCGGAAAGAAAUCCUUGGCCCUAAUACGGUCGGGGGAUGACGGUACCGGAAGAAUAAGCACCGGCUAACUACGUG
rnacentral:rRNA from 1 species